rnacentral:rRNA from 1 species
UACGUAGGGUGCGAGCGUUAAUCGGAAUUACUGGGCGUAAAGCGUGCGCAGGCGGUGAGCUGUGUCCGAUGUGAAAGCCCCGGGCUUAACCUGGGAAUGGCAUUGGAAACUGGCUCGCUGGAGUGUGGCAGAGGGGGUGGAAUUCCGCGUGUAGCAGUGAAAUGCGUAGAGAUGCGGAGGAACACCGAUGGCGAAGGCAGCCCCCUGGGCUAACACUGACGCUCAGGCACGAAAGCGUGGGGAGCAAACAGG